rnacentral:rRNA from 1 species
UACGUAGGGGGCAAGCGUUAUCCGGAUUUACUGGGUGUAAAGGGAGCGUAGGCGGUAAUGCAAGUCAGAAGUGAAAGCCCGGGGCUCAACUCCGGGACUGCUUUUGAAACUGUGUUGCUAGAUUGCAGGAGAGGUAAGUGGAAUUCCUAGUGUAGCGGUGAAAUGCGUAGAUAUUAGGAGGAACACCAGUGGCGAAGGCGGCUUACUGGACUGUAAAUGACGCUGAGGCUCGAAGGCGUGGGGAGCAAACAGG